AUUGAACGCUGGCGGCAUGCUUUACACAUGCAAGUCGAACGGCAGCACGGGGGCAACCCUGGUGGCGAGUGGCGAACGGGUGAGUAAUGCAUCGGAACGUACCCAGUCGUGGGGGAUAACGCAGCGAAAGUUGUGCUAAUACCGCAUACGAUCUACGGAUGAAAGCGGGGGACUCGCAAGAGCCUCGCGCGAUUGGAGCGGCCGAUGGCAGAUUAGGUAGUUGGUGGGGUAAAGGCUCACCAAGCCUGCGAUCUGUAGCUGGUCUGAGAGGACGACCAGCCACACUGGAACUGAGACACGGUCCAGACUCCUACGGGAGGCAGCAGUGGGGAAUUUUGGACAAUGGGCGCAAGCCUGAUCCAGCCAUUCCGCGUGCAGGAUGAAGGCCUCGG
rnacentral:rRNA from 1 species